AGAUUUUUUGCGGCUCCAAAAGUCGGACGUGUUCGUGGUUAUUUAUUUUAUUUUUUUUUUUUGGAAAUGCACACUUGCCAACAUUAAAUACGUGUACUGCAUUUGUUUAUAAGUGAGCGUGUAGUGAAUGCGAAUGCAACAAUGUUCGCUGUAACCAAGUGUGAUUGACUACCAAUUGUAGGGACCGACAGUAACAAAUACAAAUGAUCAAGCACACAAACAACAACCACAAUAAUAAUAAAAGCUGAAAUAGAAACAACAACAACAACCACAACAACAAGCAACGCUACUGCGUUAGCGCAACUGAUUGAACACCUCUCUCCUCUCGCCGCCUGUGACACGACAACACAGCGCCAACCAAAACACAGCAGCGCAACGGCCUGCUCAAGAAAAGAAGAUCUCCACAGCGAACGUACAAUUAAAACCAUCUCAAAUGAUUGAGAAUCCCGCACGACUAUGACGGAGGAGAUAACCGGCAAUUGGAGCUACUAUGUGUAUAUAUCACUAACGUUGGUUCCAGUCUAUUUGGCAUUUCAGCUCAUUAAGUUUUUGGGCUGGCAGCUAUUUGUGAACAACUGAGCAAAUAGCCAACGCACAGCCAACAUCCCAGCCAUCAACAGCAUCAACAAUAACAACACCAACAACAACACUUGCCAGACAACACCAAGCAGUGAGCAGCCAACACAGCGGAGUCAUAAUCACAAUUGAAAUUGGAAUUGCAGUUGAGAGUUUGGAGCUGAAGCCGAAGUUGGAAACUGCUGUUCUAAAAGGUGCGUAGUCACUUGAAGGCAGUCGCCGCUGUCAGUCGAAAGUCGUUGAGUGCGCGUAAAGGACCGAAGUGUAGAACUCUGAGCACUGCAGGCUCAGCCCAAUUUUUCAGCUCCAGGCAGACAGUCAGUCAGACAGUCAGCCAGACAGCCAGACAGCUAGGCAGUCAGGCCAGGCAGUCGUUGCAUCCAUACACAAACAACGCUCUCACUGACAAGGACCCAUCCGGACGACACGCUGGGAAUACAA